rnacentral:rRNA from 1 species
UACGAAGAGGGCUAGCGUUGCUCGGAAUCACUGGGCGUAAAGGGUGCGUAGGCGGGUCUUUAAGUCAGAGGUGAAAUCCUGGAGCUCAACUCCAGAACUGCCUUUGAUACUGAGGAUCUUGAGUUCGGGAGAGGUGAGUGGAACUGCGAGUGUAGAGGUGAAAUUCGUAGAUAUUCGCAAGAACACCAGUGGCGAAGGCGGCUCACUGGCCCGAUACUGACGCUGAGGCACGAAAGCGUGGAAAGCAAACAGG